rnacentral:rRNA from 1 species
GACGAACGCUGGCGGCGUGCCUAAUACAUGCCAGUAGAACGCAGUUGCGAACGGGUGAGUAACGCGUAGGUAACCUGCCUCAUAGCGGGGGAUAACUAUUGGAAACGAUAGCUAAUACCGCAUACUGUGAGAUGGACCUGCGUUUUAUUAGCUAGUUGGUGAGGUAAAGGCUCACAAAGGCGACGGUACAUAGACGACCUGAGAGGGUAACGGCCACACUGGGACUGAGACACGGUCCAGACUCCUACGGGAGGCAUCAGUGGGGAAUAGUGCACAAUGGGCGCAAGCCGGAGGCAGCCAUGCCGCGUGUAUGAAGAAGGCCUUCGGGUUGUAAAGUACUUUCAGCGGGGAGGCGUUACCCGCAGAAGAAGCACCGGCUAACUCCGUGCCAGCAGCCGCGGUAAUUC